GAAGAUUGAGAACGAAAAAGCCGCGAACUUCCAGUCAUUUAAUGUCACAAUUCCCUGCAUCUCUAGAUCUUCAAUUGAAAAGAGAUACCAAGAUUUGUACACAAAUGCUAAGUUCAAGGAAGUUCAGCACCAACUUACUGGUAUUAUCGAUUUGGACCCAGUUUUACUUAAGUCGGAUGUUCAUGGUAAGACCUAUCUGGUAGAGGAUGAAGUUCGUGUCAAAGAUUUCACAAAGCUGGUUACACAUUCAGUGAAUUUUUGUGUGGACGAUGCAGCCGCCAAGUGUUCUUGUGGUUUAUUUGAAAUGAAGGGGAUAGUGUGCCAGCACAUCUUCGUCGUCUUUAAAUGUAACGGGAUUAAGAUAAUACCAGAUAGGUACAUUUUGGAUCGAUGGAGAAAAGACAUCAAAAGAAGAUACAUGUUAAUCCACAGCAGCUAUGACGCAGGGGAUCAACGGGAAGAUGCUAAUAGAUAUUCAAGUCUGUUGAAUAUCUGUUAUAAGAUGAUUACUUGUGCGGCGAGUUCAAAAAAACAUACUGAGGAUGCAACAUCUAAGUUAAAUGCAAUGAUUGACCUGUAUGAAGCGGACUAGGAACCAUCGAUGACCAAAAAGUGUUUAAAUGUUGAUGGCACGACAAAAGACACAACUACAAUUGGUAGUUCAACAAAAGUACUCAGUCCACGUGUUGUCAGAGGAAAAGGCAAACCCCCAUCUCUGAGGAGAGCAUCCGAGAUGGAGAGAGACCUGCGGAAAGUUAAGCAGAAGACGAAGAAAGCUGCGGAAAAUACAAAACGCAAACAGUGAGAUGGGGAAGAUACACCAGUCGGGGACACUUGCAUGAGGCUAUUUGGCCCUUCCGAUUUGGACUUUUCCAAUGUUGGUCACGCGAGGGUAAUAUAAUAAAAAGCAUACCAACUGUUGAGAUUAGUGGAACCCAGGACCGAGAAACAGUACUUCAAAGUCAAGAAAGCAUGCAAUUUGGGUUUGAUAGAUCACAACCACGACAAUGAUAUGAUCAUCAUGGGUAUGUA